rnacentral:rRNA from 1 species
UACGUAGGUGGCAAGCGUUGUCCGGAUUUAUUGGGUUUAAAGGGUGCGUAGGCGGCUUGAUAAGUCAGUGGUGAAAGCCGAUCGCUUAACGAUCGAACUGCCAUUGAUACUGUCGGGCUUGAGUAUAGAUGAGGUAGGCGGAAUUGACAGUGUAGCGGUGAAAUGCAUAGAUAUUGUCAAGAACACCAAUUGCGAAGGCAGC